GACGGAGGGGGCUAGCGUUGUUCGGAAUUACUGGGCGUAAAGCGCGCGUAGGCGGCGCAUUAAGUCAGAGGUGAAAGCCCGGGGCUCAACCCCGGAAUUGCCUUUGAGACUGGUGUGCUUGAGUACGGAAGAGGUUGGAACGUGGAAUUCCCAGGUGAUUAGAAGGUGAAAAUUUCGGUA
rnacentral:rRNA from 1 species